rnacentral:rRNA from 1 species
UGAGGAAUAUUGGUCAAUGGGCGGAAGCCUGAACCAGCCAAGUAGCGUGCAGGAUGACGGCCCUAUGGGUUGUAAACUGCUUUUGUGCGGGGAUAAAGUGUGGGACGUGUCCCAUAUUGCAGGUACCGCAUGAAUAAGGACCGGCUAAUUCCGUGCCAGCAGCCGCGGUAAUACGGAAGGUCCGGGCGUUAUCCGGAUUUAUUGGGUUUAAAGGGUGCGUAGGUGGCCAUUUAAGUCAGCGGUGAAAGUUUGUGGCUCAACCAUAAAAUUGCCGUUGAAACUGGAGGGCUUGAGUAUGUUUGGGGCAGGUGGAAUGUGUGGUGUAGCGGUGAAAUGCAUAGAUAUCACGCAGAACUCCGAUCGCGAAGGCAGCUUGCCAAGCCAUAACUGACACUGAAGCACGAAAGUGUGGGUAUCAAACAGGAUUAGA